UUCUCCACCACCGGGCGUACGCGUCGUCCAAGCCCAAGAAUAGAAUGAGGCGUCGCAGCAGGGGUUGUUUGUGGUCCACGUGAGCGAGGCGAGGGGCGGCCCGAGACAGUCGAUAGUGGCGUUGUCGUCAUUGUCCGCGAGGUAGAGGGUGGCGGCGCCGGUUGCAGGGAGGACGGGGGCACCGGCGGCUGGUGAACUCGGAGGCUGCGGCUGCGCGACAACGUCCGUGGUGGUGGUGACAACUACGGCGAUGCGACCAUGAUGCGGCAGGGUAUGGAGGCUUCCUCGCCUGGGCUCGGGCGCGUCAGCACGGCGUCGGGCCAUUGCCGGUGGCGUCGAGGCCGGCUCACGCACGGAUAGGGCGCCCAAGGGUGAGCCGCCGCGGCGUGUGGGCGGGCUGAGCCAGGCGUUCCACCAUGAUGCGGCGGGGAUGAAAGCCGCCUCGCCGGGGCUUGUGGGGCAGCACGGCGUCGGGCCGUUGAGCAGAUCUUCUCCAUCCUCGAGUCCAACUUCCUGUUUGGCGCACAGGCGCUGGAGCCGGCAGGGGCAUGCUCUGCGGGGCGCGCUCGCCGCGGCCGUGCUGGUAAGGCUCGAGCGCUGACUGCGGGAGCUGUCCGGGAACCCCGAGGCCCGCGUAGUGGACUAUUUCAAGCAGGGUCCGGCGCCGGAUGGUUCCUGGCGGCUGCGUUGUUCGCACGCCGGAUGCCGGCGGAGGCGGCGUGCGACGUCGUGGCCAAGAACCGCAAGGUGUUCUCCGGGCGCCACGGCCGCGGUGGGUUCUUCUCCGAGGCCGAUGCAGGUUUUGGAAUUGCUUGAAGUUGUACAGUUCAGAUGUCCAUACACUUCAAUGAAAUACCCUCAGCUGCUUUCCAAUCUGAGAGUUGAAUCAAAGAUGUCUCAAGAACUGCGCACACAAUUGAGCGAGUCUGAGAAAGGAGAGCUAAAAGGAUCGUUCCAUCAUAUGCUGAAAUGGGCCUGGAGAUAUAAUAAAUAUCUUGAAGAACAGGCAGCCCAGCUUCACAUGUUAACUAGCUGGUCGAAAAUUGUUGAACUAGGACAUUGUGGCGGCAACGGUGGGAUUUGGGUCGGCGAGCUGCAGGGAUUUGCUGGACGCGCGCCAUCACAUGUCGAGCCACACAUAGUGACCGAUGGUGGCGGAUUAGAGUUGGAAUCCAAGAGGUUUGUGUGGUUUCAGUUAUCCGGUGAUUGGGCAAGAGCGGAGCAACAGAGGCCGGCCAAGAACAAUGACCAGGGAUAACACAUCUUGCUCGAUUUCUCGAGCGACCCAAGAGCAAACAGAGUGAACAAACCAAGGACAUGCAGGUUAACUAUUUGAUGCCCUCGUUUUGGUAAUGAGAGCAAUGCAAUAUUCUGAAGGUCACACAUGUGAGGGAAACUGGCACGUGUCUAUCUCUUAAGCUAGAAACUGCAAUUUGUGUUCUGAGCUAUGAGCUCCAAAUAAAUUAGUUUUCUCUGUUCUUCAAGUUGUUAUCUUAUUUUAGGAUUGGCAUCACUAAUAAUGCGGAGGGGUUUUUCCGUUCAAUAAAAUAUUAAAUUCCAAAUUCGUUACCAGUUUCUAUAAGUAUUGUACUGUUUUGUUAGAUUGUUGUUUGCCAUUUAUAUUAAUUUCCAUUCUUACCCACUUCCUCUGAUUGUAGCUCUUUGUGUGAAUCGGUUAGUUCAUCACCAGUCAGGUUUUUUAAAAUUUCAGGUAAGUAAAUUGAUAUGCAAUGUACAAUCAAUUGAUGAAUUGAUAAUUUGGUGUAGCAUGGAGAUCGAUCUCAUUGGUACAUAUAUUCUUCAGUUGGAAUAAGGCAAUCUGUGUGUUGUCUAUAAUCUCACACUUGAGUUUUGAGCACUGUUCUCACCUUCUUUACUUGAUAAAAAAAUCAUUAUUCAACUUUGUUCUCUCAUGAUCACAUCGCAAGUUGUAUGGAUAUACUUUAAUAAUACAUUGCCCCAAAAGGUAAUUGGCUUUGACGUUCAUUCCAGAAGUUAACUCUUUCACCUCAUUUCCUUCAAAGGUUGAAUUUUCC
rnacentral:rRNA from 1 species